GUUCUGUUCUUCUGAAGAAGUUUGAAGCAGAGCCCAGGCCGGGCCCCUGAUGAAAGGCUUCGUGAUGCCACACUCCCUUGAGGAGAUUUUGAAGGAAUCCAAUUUGCUGCGAGAUACAAAUGAAACUGUUUACCCGAACAGGUUUUUUCCCCUCCGCAUGUAAUCCAAUCUUCCAAGUCAGUGGAUUCCUGCCGUACCGUUCUGCUAAGGCACACACUGCCUCGUUGUGCACAUCCAGUUAUAACAUUACAAGAAGUAUCAAAGGCUCUGACAGCGUUGCAGGGCUGUUUGCAGUUCUGAAUGGCCAGAAUUGUCCCAUGUGCUGGCCGAAGUUCUGGUCCUGAAGCACGAUGUUUCUCAGCUGGCAAUCUAGGUCACCUGGAUGUUUGUAAGGCUUAUGUCAUUCUUUGCCAUGAAUGCAGAAGACAUAAAAAGAUGUUUGUCUCUUUGUCUGUUCUGCAUUUAUCCUGGAAAAGAGAUUGGAGAACUCGCAAAAUUAUUCCUUCCAAUUUCUGACAUGAACUAAGAAGAAAGCUGUAUCUGCUCAAGAUCCCAUGCCGCAGAUUUAUGUAGCUGAAACUGCUGAAAACUCACUGCUAAAACAAAGAGGGGAAAAGGCUGAUUUCCAGAUUUUUAUAAGAUAAACAUCAAACAAAUUCCCAAGCGAAUGGAUUGCAAUGCCUCUAAAAACACGUGGAAACAAGGAUUACUUCUGUUCAGGAACAAGACAAGUGAAGGACAUUUUGCAGGAGCCAAAUUCCAGACAACUGGUAAACUCUGUAGCAACAGCAAAAAAAACUCCAGCUUUCCAUAUAGCUUCCAGCUACCUCUGGUACAGGAGACAGUGAAGGCUGUGUGGUGAUGUGGGCUUGAAACCCAGCAAGUCCUAGGGUAUAUUCUUACUUCUGCUACAGGCUUGCUUUGCAACCAUUCAUUGUUUCUGGAGAGGAACGGAAGAGUUUGAUCUUACUUAAAAUAAAUUCCACAGCAUAUCACCUUAGGCAAGCUUCUGUAUAAAGAUAAUAAUGUUUACUCCUUAACUUUACAAGGGUACUGGGGCUGUUAUUACAGCUGUAGCACUUUGACCGUGGAAAUGCUACGUUGUCAUAAUUUUCUGUCCUUCACUCCGUUGUGUCUAAAGGAGGACUUUGAGAUUUAUUGUUCUCAGCCAUCCCUCAUUCCUGGUGCUGAAGACAUCAAGAAAUGGUGGUUGAACUAGGUGAUCUUAGUGAUAUUUUCCAAUCUUAAUGAUUCUGUGAUUCUGCACUUCUGUGAAAUCAUGCUCACCUGUUCCAAAAGUUUGUGGGUGAAUAUUAAACAAAGUUCAGGCUUUGACUCCCCUUUGGUCCAUGUUACUGCAAUGCUAGAAGAAAAGGUAACCAGGUGAGAGGCUGUGGCUCAAGGAUGCAUAAUCCAUUGCCUUUCUCUGGGUAUCAGUGACACUCACAGAAUCACAUUCUUGGAAAAGCUGCUCCUCUGAGACUGUUGAUUUUCUCCAUUUCAGGAUCAGUAUUAUCAAACAAACUUGUUAUUUCUUCCUUCGGGGACAGAUUUCUACUGCAAAUAAGUGUGGCUCAUAUUCUGUCAUCUUUAGAAUUGUAACCCACAUUUUAUUGCUUGACAUGAAAAUGCUAUUUUCAACACUUCUAUCUUAACUAAGUCAGAGCCUGCAUUUACUUUGUGACUACAAACUUGGAUGCAAGUACAGAACUCCUAUACAGUCCCUUUGAAUACUUCCAGAAAUUCUGAUAGAUAAAACAGUCCUCCAGUU
rnacentral:lncRNA from 7 species